rnacentral:rRNA from 1 species
UACAGAGGGUGCGAGCGUUAAUCGGAAUUAUUGGGCGUAAAGGGCUCGUAGGCGGUUUGUCGCGUCGGGAGUGAAAUCCUACGGCUUAACUGUGGGCUUGCUUUCGAUACGGGCAGACUAGAGGUAUGCAGGGGAGAACGGAAUUCCUGGUGUAGCGGUGAAAUGCGCAGAUAUCAGGAGGAACACCGGUGGCGAAGGCGGUUCUCUGGGCAUGAUCUGACGCUGAGGAGCGAAAGUGUGGGGAGCGAACAGG